GGCCCCUUAGCUCAGUGGUUAGAGCAGGCGACUCAUAAUCGCUUGGUCGUUGGUUCAAACCAACAGGGGCCACCA
rnacentral:tRNA from 1 species